AAGUAGCAUUUGGGUUAGGGAUAGCAGCGGUAGCUCCCAAGACCUUUUGGGAUUGGGACUACAAGCGAAUAGCCCGGCCGCUC
rnacentral:misc_RNA from 1 species